rnacentral:sRNA from 2 species
CCCAGAGGUAUUGAUAGGUGAGCGCAGCCCCCGGGUUGCAUACUCGAAUUACACCAACCUGCGCAGAUGCGCAGGUUUUUUUU